AUUGAACGCUAGCGGGAUGCUUUACACAUGCAAGUCGAACGGCAGCGCGGACUUCGGUCUGGCGGCGAGUGGCGAACGGGUGAGUAAUGUAUCGGAACGUGCCCAGUAGCGGGGGAUAACUACGCGAAAGCGUAGCUAAUACCGCAUACGCCCCACGGGGGAAAGCAGGGGAUCGUAAGACCUUGCACUAUUGGAGCGGCCGAUAUCGGAUUAGCUAGUUGGUGAGGUAACGGCUCACCAAGGCGACGAUCCGUAGCUGGUUUGAGAGGACGACCAGCCACACUGGGACUGAGACACGGCCCAGACUCCUACGGGAGGCAGCAGUGGGGAAUUUUGGACAAUGGGGGCAACCCUGAUCCAGCCAUCCCGCGUGUGCGAUGAAGGCCUUCGGGUUGUAAAGCACUUUUGGCAGGAAAGAAACGUCGCGGGCUAAUACCCCGUGGAACUGACGGUACCUGCAGAAUAAGCACCGGCUAACUACGUG
rnacentral:rRNA from 1 species